rnacentral:rRNA from 1 species
UACGUAGGGGGCUAGCGUUGUCCGGAAUCAUUGGGCGUAAAGCGCGUGUAGGCGGUUCGGUAAGUCCGCUGUGAAAGUCGGGGGCUCAACCCUCGGAUGCCGGUGGAUACUGUCGGACUAGAGUACGGAAGAGGCGAGUGGAAUUCCUGGUGUAGCGGUGAAAUGCGCAGAUAUCAGGAGGAACACCAAUUGCGAAGGCAGCUCGCUGGGACGUGACUGACGCUGAGACGCGAAAGCGUGGGGAGCAAACAGG